CUGUUGUUUUACUACAACAGAGGUCAUUGUGGAUGGAAAUAUCUGAUUUCUACAUAUUCCUGAAUUUCUUGUAGUUACUACGUAACUGUGACCAGGGAGAUAAACCAUGUAGAAAACAAAU
rnacentral:snoRNA from 1 species